AAAGCCUCUAAGCAUCAGGUAACAUCAAAUCGUACCCCAAACCGACACAGGUGGUCAGGUAGAGAAUACCAAGGCGCUUGAGAGAACUCGGGUGAAGGAACUAGGCAAAAUGGUGCCGUAACUUCGGGAGAAGGCACGCUGAUAUGUAGGUGAAGCGACUUGCUCGUGGAGCUGAAAUCAGUCGAAGAUACCAGCUGGCUGCAACUGUUUAUUAAAAACACAGCACUGUGCAAACACGAAAGUGGACGUAUACGGUGUGACGCCUGCCCGGUGCCGGAAGGUUAAUUGAUGGGGUUAGCGGUAACGCGAAGCUCUUGAUCGAAGCCCCGGUAAACGGCGGCCGUAACUAUAACGGUCCUAAGGUAGCGAAAUUCCUUGUCGGGUAAGUUCCGACCUGCACGAAUGGCGUAAUGAUGGCCAGGCUGUCUCCACCCGAGACUCAGUGAAAUUGAACUCGCUGUGAAGAUGCAGUGUACCCGCGGCAAGACGGAAAGACCCCGUGAACCUUUACUAUAGCUUGACACUGAACAUUGAGCCUUGAUGUGUAGGAUAGGUGGGAGGCUUUGAAGUGUGGACGCCAGUCUGCAUGGAGCCGACCUUGAAAUACCACCCUUUAAUGUUUGAUGUUCUAACGUUGGCCCGUAAUCCGGGUUGCGGACAGUGUCUGGUGGGUAGUUUGACUGGGGCGGUCUCCUCCUAAAGAGUAACGGAGGAGCACGAAGGUUGGCUAAUCCUGGUCGGACAUCAGGAGGUUAGUGCAAUGGCAUAAGCCAGCUUGACUGCGAGCGUGACGGCGCGAGCAGGUGCGAAAGCAGGUCAUAGUGAUCCGGUGGUUCUGAAUGGAAGGGCCAUCGCUCAACGGAUAAAAGGUACUCCGGGGAUAACAGGCUGAUACCGCCCAAGAGUUCAUAUCGACGGCGGUGUUUGGCACCUCGAUGUCGGCUCAUCACAUCCUGGGGCUGAAGUAGGUCCCAAGGGUAUGGCUGUUCGCCAUUUAAAGUGGUACGCGAGCUGGGUUUAGAACGUCGUGAGACAGUUCGGUCCCUAUCUGCCGUGGGCGCUGGAGAACUGAGGGGGGCUGCUCCUAGUACGAGAGGACCGGAGUGGACGCAUCACUGGUGUUCGGGUUGUCAUGCCAAUGGCACUGCCCGGUAGCUAAAUGCGGAAGAGAUAAGUGCUGAAAGCAUCUAAGCACGAAACUUGCCCCGAGAUGAGUUCUCCCUGAGACUUUAAGUCUCCUGAAGGAACGUUGAAGACGACGACGUUGAUAGGCCGGGUGUGUAAGCGCAGCGAUGCGUUGAGCUAACCGGUACUAAUGAACCGUGAGGCUUAACCUU
rnacentral:rRNA from 1 species